CCAGUGAGAUGAACCCGGUACCUCAGAUGGAAAUGCAGAAAUCACCCGCCUUCUGCGUCGCUCAUGCUGGGAGCUGUAGACCGGAGCUGUUCCUAUUCGGCCAAACGGUUGCGAAUAUUUCCAGGCCUCUUCAAACUCUACCAACCUAGUGUUUAGCAUUUGCAAAGGGUGUCACGCAUGUGCUCACAAUAAUAUAAUUUUUCUCAGUGAUCACAUAUUAUCUGACAUUUUUAUCCUCUAUUGAUCCAGACGAAUGGAAAAAAGAUUACUUCUGAGAAUGCCAAAAUCACCACGGAAUGCCAAAACAGCCACUGCUCCCAGUGCCCAGGCCAAAAUUGCUUGUGCCCAUGAAGAAGAUGACAUGAUGCCCAUGUGUUGACAGAGUUGUCCAUAAGUGCUAAAGCGUGACGUAUUUCUCUUCUUUUAUCUUGGCCCAUUUGCUGGACGUUGUUGUCCACUUGGGCUACUGUGUUUACCACAAUCAUGAAUUGCAUAUACACUGUGCGCCACAUGUCUUUAACAGAGAUUUAAGACUCAGAUCUUUCUUUCUUCUUUUUUUUCUCUCCUUAGGACCUAAGUACAUGUCUGCAAAAGGAGGGCCAAAUAAAAGUUCUCUCUUCCAGUGAGAUAUGGACUUCUUAUUUAUACAUGUCAACCUACUCUACUACUUGGAAUUAUUUCCCAUAAAGCUCUUUGGUGUCUCAUACACAGAAAGUCCAGAUGGUUUCUGGAAAAAAAUAAAGAAUGA
rnacentral:lncRNA from 1 species